GGCCGGUGCUGUUCUCGGCUCCCUGAGUCGGUUCAUCGCCUGGUUAUCCGUAUGGGAAACCAGCUCGACCUUCACUGUGUCGGCUGGUGGAUCAUACACUUUACUUUGAAAAAAUUAGAGUGUUUCAGGCAGGCAAUUGCUUGGAUACUGUAGCAUGGAAUAAUGGAAUAGGACUUUGACCUAUUUGUUGGUUUCUCGAGGUCAGAGUA
rnacentral:rRNA from 1 species